GAUUAACGCUAGCGGCAGGCCUAAUACAUGCAAGUCGAGGGGCAGCAGGGUGUAGCAAUACAUCGCUGGCGACCGGCGCACGGGUGCGUAACACGUAUGCAACCUACCUUUAACUGGGGAAUAGCCCUCCGAAAGGAGGAUUAACACCGCAUAACAUCACGAGACGGCAUCGCCUUGUGAUCAAACCUCCGGGGGUUAAAGAUGGGCAUGCGUCCGAUUAGCUAGUUGGCGGGGUAACGGCCCACCAAGGCGACGAUCGGUAGGGGGUCUGAGAGGAUGAUCCCCCACACUGGUACUGAGACACGGACCAGACUCCUACGGGAGGCAGCAGUAAGGAAUAUUGGACAAUGGUCGCAAGACUGAUCCAGCCAUGCCGCGUGCAGGAUGAACGAUCUAUGAUCUGUAAACUGCUUUUGUUCGGGAAUAAACCCCUUCACGUGUGGAGGGCUGAAUGUACCGAAAGAAUAAGGGUCGGCUAACUUCGUGCCAGCAG
rnacentral:rRNA from 1 species